UAGUGGCAGAAAGGGACACAUUUGGCUCCAUUACUAAACCCUCUGCCUGCCACCCUCCUACCAGACUUCCUGCUUAAUCUUUAUUUAAGUCCUUUGAACAAAUGUCCAACAAGGCAAAGAUGCCAGCUGGAUACAGGAUGGAAACUGUGUUGGGGAGGGACAGCUUGUCUCCAGCUGGAUCCUGCCUUGAAUUCAGAAGUUCUUUGAAGAAAAGCUUACAGGGUAUAUUUCACCACCAGGCACUGACUGCAGAGAGCUCUUGGCAACUGCGGUGAUGGAUAAAUUUCAAGAUGGCAGAGCAGACUGAGGAAGCACCAAACCCAUUCAUUUGAACAAACAGGCAGUAAGGAACCUGUACACUUCAGAUACCAGGGAUAGAAUAUCAGCUGAAAUAUAGAGUUUGUGUUAGGUAAGCCACUUGGAAUAUUUUAUUCAAUUAUCAAACACAAUCAAUAAUAAAAAAUAGCCCAUUAGACCAAACAGCAGACUAUUUCAG